rfam:Salmo salar isolate Sally breed double haploid chromosome ssa13, whole genome shotgun sequence.
UGUGUUCACUACUGUAAGUCGCUCUGGAUAAGAGCAUCUGCUAAAUGACUCAAA